AAGUCGACCCACACACCUAGCGAGCUCCUACGUAAGGUCGAAAUGUCCGAUGAAAGUAUGCUUCCCUCGCUCGUGAUUUUUGUCGAAAUUCCGUCUAAACAAGUUGACAUAUAUGAGCUAGAGGAACAUGACUCAAUGAUCCAACAUUAUUCAAGUACGCUAAGCACAGCCACAUUUAAGUACACUUCAAAUUCGUCCCUAACCAAAGAGAAAUGAAAGAGAAGAAACGCUAG